AUUGAACGCUGGCGGCAGGCCUAACACAUGCAAGUCGAGCGCGCGGCGGACGCGUGAGUAAUGUCUGGGAAACUGCCUGAUGGGGGGGGAUAACUCCUGGAAACGGUAGCUAAUACCCCAUACCAUCAGAUGUGCCCAGAUGGGAUUUGCUAGUAGGUGGGGUAACGGCUCACCUAGGCGACGAUCCCUAGCUGGUCUGAGAGGAUGACCAGCCACACGGGAACUGAGACACGGUCCAGACUCCUACGGGAGGCAGCAGUGGGGAAUAUUGCACAAUGGGCGCAAGCCUGAUGCAGCCAUGCCGCGUGUGUGAAGAAGGCCUUCGGGUUGUAAAGCACUUUCAGCGGGGAGGCGUUACCCGCAGAAGAAGCACCGGCUAACUCCGUGCCAGCCGCCGCGGUAAUUC
rnacentral:rRNA from 1 species